UCCGUCGAUUUUCAAAAUCGUGAGGGUUCAAGUCCCUCUAUCCCCACAAA
rnacentral:tRNA from 2 species